CGCUGCCAUCAUACUCCAUGGGCGCUGACGACGGAGGGUGUCAGCGACCUCUUCGACUGGAUGGGAUAAUGGGCCGUCUUGUUGGGCUUGACUCACCUGGAUCCUAAGAAUUGAACCAACUACAUAUACCUGGAAGAGGCUACCAGAAAAAUCGGUUUGGACCGAACUCUACUGUUCAUCUUCCUCCUCUAAUCCCCACCUUUCUUUGAGUUUCUCUUCCAAUUCAACUGUAAUUCCAACAAAUCCUUGAGUUGAACUACUGGGAUCCUCACACCUGGUAUCAGAGCCAUACACCACCCUUCAAAAUUUCCCCCAAAAAUCCACAAAUUACCACCAGACAUCUCUUCCUUCAUGGAGCACGAGACUCGCUGAUGAAGGCGAUGCGAGAGUUCGCCAUGGCCGAGCCCAAGAACUGCCACAAGGAGUGGACGGCGUACAUGGCGCUGGUGAAGGCGAAGGAGACAGCAGCACUCGCCUCCCCAACAAGCGCUACCUCGCCUCCACACUCCCGUGCAUGCCCCGUCGCCACAUCAGCAUCGGUUUCAUCCACCAACGUCCCCGCCACCGGCCGCGCAGCCACGGCCACACCCUUCACAACGGCUCCACACACCGAGUCGCCGAAGGACAAGUGGGCCGCCAAGUUUGAAGCCUUGAUCGACGAAGCGCUUGUUGCUAUACGUGCUGAGUGGAAGGCGGCUGCAAACAGCCAAGGAACUUCGUCUCCGACGACCUCCUCACACGCCCCCGCAGCAGAGGCCCUGGACUCGACACCAGCCCUUGUCCGGCCUGUGUCCACCGUGGCACCAGCGGCUUCCUUCACCCCCGACCCAGCAGCAACAACCGCCACGGGCCUCUCCUUGCCGGCCCCAGGUUAUGCCGCGUCUGCAUCCUGCGACAUCGACAUCGACAUCGACAUCAUCCUCAAGACGCCCGCUACCUGUUCGACGGAUUGCCUGCAAGGCAAUACAAGCGCAGCUUCCACAUUGGGUGUCCCAUGCGUUGGACAAGCACCUUCCAUGGUGAGCGACACCAUCUUCAACGCUGAGUCGCCAGCCAUCGGCUCGACAGUAUGCCCCAGCCAAGAGAAGGACAUGACACAACAAUUGGAUGUUGGUUUGGUCGCGUCUUCUGCUACUGAGGGUAUCGAGCUCAGCAACACUCUGAUGGUGCCACGCCCACUCAAGUUCUUCAUUGUGCAGAAUGUCACGGCACUUGUCUUUGGUCUACUUGACAUUGGCCUUCACAUCGACAUUGCCUUGAAGGGCCACAACAGCGACUCUGCUUCAAGCCUCCUCAUCAAGACACAUACCUGGUAUGCACAGUGUAGAUGUCCUCCUAUAUCAUUCUAUGGUCCUGGCCUUGUUUUAAGUGUUGCUCAACAUGUGUUUUUGGCAAUGAGCAAUAUGACUACAGUAGUUUCAGAGAAAGAUUGGUUAUCAUUUCUGUGUGCUAACCUUCGUCAACCAUGGCCUCCACCCUUUGGAGUACACUCUAGUGCAUUUCUUAUUGCGGCUCACAUGCUGGAUAACUUACAAGUUGAGUUAGUGCAGCUUCAACCUUGGCCCUCAUGGCAGCUAUUUCUCUCAUUUCUCACUAUGAUGGGUUAUUUUUGUGAUAUCCUUGUUUCCACUUCUUCUGAAGUUAAAUGGAAGAACAGAUUGGUGCUCAACAAGUAUGGUUCUUGGUCCAACACUAUGCUGUUCCAUUCUCCUUCCCAGAUCUCAGGACAAUCUUGUGCUAUUCCUGAUACUUGUUACAAGUGUCUGAUUCUUUGCGGAGGAAUUGAGAGCAAAAUUAUCAUAGUGCAGUUUUUAAAUGGUUUGCCUGAGAGAUAUUGGUCCAGCAAGUUUUACUGCAAGGGGAAGCAGCUGCUCCAUUGUGCAAGUGGCCAUACCAUCACUCUUCACCCAGCUGUAGCAUCUGGGCACUCUAAAAUUGUACCAUCACUGCAGUCUAGAGGGACUCAAGCUACUGUUGUGUUUGACCUUGUGGCAUCAGUAUAUUUGGUGGUUUCUAGUGCACAUACAGUUCUGAAUUUUCCUGGCACGCAACCAAGUCAGGUCCUUGUUCUUUGUCUUGCUUUGAAUCAGAUUAUUGAAUAUUCCACAGACACGAGCUCAUGGAUUGAUGCAACACCUAGUGUGGACCAUGCUAUUCAAGGCGGUUCUGAACUUGGUUAUAGUUGGCACUAUUUUCAGCUGGAGCUACUAAUUGAUGGUUUCUUGCACACCUUUGUUAGCCGCAACCUCAGUGGUUACAUUAUUCUAUAUGGUUCUGAACAUAUACAAUUGCAUAUUGCCGGGUUAUUCAGUCAACCACUAUUGAAGAAUUGGGUUCAGCUUUACCCUACUAGGAAGGCUCUCCUAUAUGAUUCUACAGAAUUCCAAUGGCAGAUCGCAUGGUCAAUUGGCUUAGUGUGCUCUGAUACCUGCAAGCAGUACUUCACAGUAACACUGUGAGAUUAUUUGGCUCACGGUAUGCACCUGCGUCUUCAUCAAGCUACAGGUACCAUGGUGUCUCUUAAUAUUGGACAAGGGGUUACGGUGCCAUGGGAUCCUGGUGGUGGUGUGGCUGGCUUGAGGGCAAGCCGGAUUUUAUGGAGGGGGGAUUGUCAGCGACCUCUUCGACUGGAUGGGAUAAUGGGCCGUCUUGUUGGCCUUGACUCACCUAGAUCCUAGGAAUUGAACCAACUACAUAUACCUAGAAGAGGCUACCAGAAGAAUCGGCUUGGACCGAAUUGGACGGCGGCUUCGGCCGAGGCAGGCAUGGAGAUGGCUCUACUGAUCAUCUUCCUCCUCUAAUCCCCACCUUUCUUUGAGUUUCUCCUCCAAUUCAACUGUAAUUCCAGCGAAUCCUUGAGUUGAACUACUGGGAUCCUCACAGAGGGGCAGCCGGGAGGGGGAGGUGCGCCACCGCAGCAGUUCCGGCGGCCGGGAAAUGAGGUCGGGGCGGGGGAGCCCGUUCCUCCCAUCUUACGAGGCCAGAAGCACCGGUCACCAGAGAUCAGAAGGGUGGGGCGCGUCGCUGGUGGGUUUUUUUAGGCCCGUCGCUGGUGGUUGUUGCGGCGGAGAGAACCCUGUUUGUUCUGUCGAUCGGGGAGAG
rnacentral:lncRNA from 1 species